CCUACGGGAGGCAGCAGUGGGGAAUAUUGCACAAUGGGGGAAACCCUGAUGCAGCGACGCCGCGUGAGUGAAGAAGUAUUUCGGUAUGUAAAGCUCUAUCAGCAGGGAAGUAAAUGACGGUACCUGAUUAAGAAGCCCCGGCUAACUACGUGCCAGCAGCCGCGGUAAGACGUAGGGGGCAAGCGUUAUCCGGAUGUACUGGGUGUAAAGGGAGCGUAGACGGUAGUGCAAGUCAGAAGUGAAAUGUCGGGGCUUAACCCCGGAACUGCUUUUGAAACUGUGCAACUUGAGUGCAGGAGAGGUAAGUGGAAUUCGUGGUGUAGCGGUGAAAUGCGUAGAUAUCAGGAGGAACACCAGUGGCGAAGGCGGCUUACUGGACUGUAACUGACGUUGAGGCUCGAAAGCGUGGGGAGCAAACAGGAUUAGAUACCCUUGUAGUC
rnacentral:rRNA from 1 species